AAAAAGUCGUGUUUUACAGAUUCGAUCUCAACUGGACGCAACUUUUAAACGUUUUAACGGUGAUGUAAUUGUAUUGGCAACCAGUUUAGAAACAGCCGUAAUAAAAUCUUUUUCAUAUUUGGAAUUGGACUGCGAAUCUACUUACCAAAAGACUGUUAAUUUAAUAAUUGAAAGACACCAACGUCACAGGACUUACAUAAUGGAAGUAUGCGAUGAAAUAUACGAAUAUAAAAACAAGAAUUUCAACGCAAUAAUCAUUGUAUAUAGUAUUUGCAACCAAGUGUUUAAGAUAAUUUUUUAAUAAGCAUUUAGAAUAGGCAGUGUUAACCGUAAGUAGUUAUUAGAUUAAAUGAAAUGUAUUUUUCUACGAACUGUAAUUAUCUGCAUGCACAAAAAUCGAGAAUAAAACAAAAUUGGAUUCCAAAAAGGAAUUUCAAUGAGGGUAGUAAGUACGGUCGUUACAAAAUCGUACGCUCUACCAAUAUUUUUAUCGUU